rnacentral:rRNA from 1 species
CCUACGGGGGGCUGCAGUAAGGAAUAUUGGUCAAUGGACGGAAGUCUGAACCAGCCAUGCCGCGUGGAGGAUGAAGGUCCUCUGGAUUGUAAACUUCUUUUAUAGGGGGCGAAAAAAGGGAAUUCUUUCUCGUCUGACGGUACCCUAUGAAUAAGCACCGGCUAACUCCGUGCCAGCAGCCGCGGUAAUACGGAGGGUGCAAGCGUUAUCCGGAUUUACUGGGUUUAAAGGGAGCGUAGGCGGAUAUGUAAGUCAGUGGUGAAAGCCCUCAGCUU